rnacentral:rRNA from 1 species
UGGGGAAUAUUGGACAAUGGGGGCAACCCUGAUCCAGCAAUGCCGCGUGUGUGAAGAAGGUUUUCGGAUUGUAAAGCACUUUCGGCGGGGACGAUGAUGACGGUACCCGCAGAAGAAGCCCCGGCUAACUUCGUGCCAGCAGCCGCGGUAAUACGAAGGGGGCUAGCGUUGCUCGGAAUGACUGGGCGUAAAGGGCGUGUAGGCGGUUUGUACAGUCAGAUGUGAAAUCCCCGGGCUUAACCUGGGAGCUGCAUUUGAUACGUGCAGACUAGAGUGUGAGAGAGGGUUGUGGAAUUCCCAGUGUAGAGGUGAAAUUCGUAGAUAUUGGGAAGAACACCGGUGGCGAAGGCGGCAACCUGGCUCAUGACUGACGCUGAGGCGCGAAAGCGUGGGGAGCAAACAGGAUUAGAUACCCUGGUAGUCCACGCUGUAAACGAUGUGUGCUGGAUGUUGGGCAACUUAGUUGUUCAGUGUCGUAGCUAACGCGAUAAGCACACCGCCUGGGGAGUACGGCCGCAAGGUUGAAAC